UAAAAGCGCGUGUAUAUUGUAGAUCGCUAUGUGUUAUACAGAGAGAAAGGAAAAAAAUUAACUUGUACGUGUAUGUGAGCGUAUAGAGAGAAUGUGAAAGAGAAAGAGAGAGAAAAAGCAGAGAAGGAAAUGAAAUGAGCGAGGGAGAGCUGCGCGCGUGUGCGUGUGUAUGCGUAUAUUUGAAUGUAAUGUGCGUAAAUGCGUAGAUAUUGAUGCGCGUCCGUUGUCUUCCACGGUUACGUCAUUCCACGCACAAAAAGACGUGCUCGCGAUUUUGUAUAUGCGAGUACCGCGAGAAACUAGAUUGUUAAAUUAGGUUACAACUGACGCGCUGUAUCUCACACGCGUCGAUUCUUCUCCUUUUACAAUUGUAAAAUUAAUGUGUAUUUUUGAUGGACCAAGUUAUACAAGUACGCAUUCGUCAAUUACUCUUUUUAUAAUACGGACUUAACAGAAGUGAUGUGUCGAGGGACCAAGCUGCAACGUCACAAGCCAGCGAUUUUUCUUUGUUUGUUUUUUUUUUUUUUCUUUUAUUUUUGAUUAUAUAUAAGACUGUACCAUGAAUCGACGAUUGGUAUUGUAAUAUUGCGGCGAUGCUCUAACGCGACGCGUUUUCCAACAUUUACCGCAUGAGGAAUGAUGCCUAAAUUAUUACGCACGAUGUAAACGACGUGAAAUGCAGUUGCUUUUACUUCACUCGUCCGUCGACAUCACGCAGGUUUUCAAGUGAUAGUUUAGAAUAUUUCAGUACGUAGAGGUAAAACGAGAUAAAAGUGAAGGGAAAGGGCGCGAUCAUUUGCCAUAUUCGUAUAUUCCACGCGUAAAUAUAAAUUCCGUGCUCCUCCAACGCUUACCUUUAAUAUCCCGCUGAUGUGUGUUCACACGUGGAAUACGUAAUAUCGCAUUACUAUCCGAGCCGAGUGUGCCGACUCGCUUGUAUUAUUCGACAAAGAUCGAAACGUGACGACCCGCGGUAGUACCGCCUGUAGUCAGCGAUACUUUCUGCUUCGUAAGAACGUGAAAAGUUAACAGCCGGUUGAUUCGCACCUCGAGACGAUCGUCCGAGGUAUUUUAUAUCAAGAUAACACGCAACCGAGAUAAUUGAGAAUUGAGAACGCUUUAGAAUGUUAGAAUAUUAAUGCUCGUAUGUCUAAAGCGCCCGCGGCCUAUUCAGAAAACUGAUACGAUCGGUCUAAACCUCCUUUUUGGCAAAACGUUUUCUUAUCUCAAUCUUGUACCGAACACAAUGCUACAGAAAAAAAACGACACACGUUAUUAUUUCUCGAUAUCUCCUUAUCGGUAUAUACAUAACGGUUAGAUCAGGAUUUCCUUGAAACGGAAAUGAAAUCCACAAAUGUAGUUUACAGUUUAAAAGAAGAAAUUCCUGGAAGCCGCGUUAUUCAACCUUCAGCGUGGAUAUGGGUGCCACGUAAUACGGAAAUUUCGACAACUUAUUGUAAUGCGCGACGACGGUUCCGACGAUUUUGAAUACAUAAAAAUGCAAAUUUUUUUGGAGGCGGAAAAACGUGCGUGGAACAUACGAGUGGAUUAUAGCGUAUAAGAAGUUACUUAGCGAGAAGAAGAAUGCGACGCGACGUUAUGUUAUUCGCUUUUUUGCCAUCUAGAACAUUUCCACGAGAGAGAUCUAUGCUCAAAGUAAGACUGCCAGGUAAUCGAAACACUCCAUGUCGCCGUGAUUUUGUAUCGCCUUUAGAUGUAUACGCAAGGUAGAAUUAUCAUUAACGGCGAACACGACGUUGUCCGCGUAUUGUAUAUCGCGUUAUUCUCUCCGAGGCUUCGAUCUAUUAAUCAUCCGUUGGAGAACUGUAGGACUUUCGCAUAAUAUUAUUAUAUAUAUAUAUCUCUCUCUCUUUUUCGUCAGUACGCGAAACUUCUUCCCUUCUUCUGCCUCGCUUUAUUUUCGCUUCUUCAGCAGCAGUAACAAUUGCCUUAGCCAGCAUUGCCUUCAUUGUUUCCUAGAAAAUUAACCGCGACACCCGCGCCGUAUGCGUUCAUCUCUAACAAGUGCCUAUCUAGUAUUAUAAGUGUAAAAUGCAUUCCUUUCUGUACAACUAAUCGACAUUCCAGUAAAGACUGCGGACGUUUUUUUGAACGAAAAAAAAAAAAAAAAAAGAAAAUAAAAUCAAUACUUUUCUACUUGCACCUUUUUCUACUUCAUGAAAAUUCUCAACACUCUAGGCGUUUCUUAAUAGAGACUAAAUUCUAGGAAGGGGGGGGGGGGGGAGAAAGAAGAAUGUCAUUUCCAUGAAAAACAUGUCAUUCCUGCGAAAGUGCGUCAACACUCUCGUGAUCAUUAACUUGCUUAAAGACAUCGAAAAUGUGCCAAAACUGAGCUAGCGGUGCCUUCGUUAAUCUAGAGUUGCAGUUGCGCACGAUGGAGAGGCAUCCGCACAUGUUCGACUCGAGAGAUAUAAAUUGUAACGGAAUCAUACGCCGUAUAACUGAUCAAAAGUGCCUGCAUCCUGCCAAGCGUAGAUAAGAACUCUCGCUUCCUUUAGUUCGUGAUUUUUAUUACACGGCGCUUCCAGCGAUAGGCGCAUCGUUACAUAGGAGAUUAGCCGUGCUGUCAGUAAUACAUACGCUCCGAUUUCCAUUCGGAAUCUCUCCAGAAGAGAGGGAAGAAAGACGUCCGAGCACGUGUUCUACUGCGCCUACUGCAACAGUGAUAAGAUGAAAAAGAUAUACAUAUAUUAUAUAUAAAUAUAUAUAGGAUAAAUAUAUAGUAACUCUCUGGAAAGGGAGGGAUAUACGAAGUAUAUAUAUAAAUGAAUGGUAUGGUACAACAUUCGUUUGAAUGUUUCGAUA